GAUCAUUACUGAGAAAGUACUUUUCCGAGGUGAUGGGAAGAGCCGCUCCCCCUUCCCCCCCCGCGGGGAAGGGGACGGCGCGACCCUGCCUUCACACCCUUGCGUAUCCACCGCGUUGCUUUGGCGGGCCGACCCGGUUUCGACCCGGGCGGCCGGCGCCCCCAGCCCGGAUUCCCGGGCCAGGACGCCCGGGCCAAGCGCCCGCCAGUACACCAAACUCCAGCGAUUAUUUCGUGCAGUCCUGAAACAUUCAUUCAAUGAAACUAAAACUUUCAACAACGGAUCUCUUGGUUCUGGCAUCGAUGAAGAACGCAGCGAAAUGCGAUAAGUAAUGUGAAUUGCAGAAUUCAGUGAAUCAUCGAAUCUUUGAACGCACAUUGCGCUCCCUGGUAUUCCGGGGAGCAUGCCUGUUCGAGCGUCAUUUCAACCCUCAAGCUCUGCUUGGUAUUGGGCGACGUCCGCUGCCGGACGCGCCUGGAAGACCUCGGCGACGGCGUCCCAGCCUCGAGCGUAGUAGCGAAAACAUCUCGCUCUGGAGGAAGGGGGCGGCGGCUUGCCGGACAAUCGACCUUCGGUCACCAUUCAUUUCCAAGGUUGACCUCGGAUCAG
rnacentral:rRNA from 1 species